rnacentral:lncRNA from 1 species
UGACGAUGCUCGGAUACUCCGUCAGCGCUAGACUCUGGGAGCCUGGCUUGGGCCUUGGAACCUGCUACCCGUAACUGCAUAUGGCGGGGACAGAGCUUGGGCAUCGCCACGGGAGGACACGAGCCUCUGGAGUGUAACUCUGCAUCCCUACCUUGACCCCCAAGUGCACCCACCCUUAGGGAGAUGGGACACUCGCUCUUGUCCACCACAACCGCCCAGCCAGACCGGGAAAAGAACUACUGACCCCUCCUGCCUCGAGGAAACGGCCCUUCUGUUGGUAUUCAGGCUUCUGCACUGGCCUGCACUCGGGGCUCUGACAGGAAACACCCUCAGGACCGUCAGACCCGUCUCCA